UACGUAGGGUGCGAGCGUUAAUCGGAAUUACUGGGCGUAAAGCGUGCGCAGGCGGUUCGCUGUGUCCUGUGUGAAAGCCCCGGGCUUAACCUGGGAAUGGCAUGGGAAACUGGCGAGCUUGAGUGCGGCAGAGGGGGGUGGAAUUCCGCGUGUAGCAGUGAAAUGCGUAGAGAUGCGGAGGAACACCGAUGGCCGAAGGCAGCCCCCUGGGUCGACACUGACGCUCAGGCGACGAAAGCGUAGGGGAGCAAACAGG
rnacentral:rRNA from 1 species